GAAGAAGUGAAUUAAGGGCAUUUGGUGGAUGCCUUGGCAUGCACAGGCGAAGAAGGACGUGAUACGCUGCGAAAAGCCGUGGGGAGCUGCGAAUAAGCUUUGAUCCAUGGAUCUCCGAAUGGGGCAACCCACCUUAAAUGCUUGGAAAAUCCAAACCGUCUUCGACGGCUUGGGUUUCCAAGCAUUGUGAUAAGGUAUCUUACUUUCGAAUACAUAGGGGUAAGAAGCGAACGCAGGGAACUGAAACAUCUAAGUACCUGCAGGAAAGGACAUCAACCGAGACUCCGCAAGUAGUGGCGAGCGAACGCGGACCAGGCCAGUGGCAAUGAUGAAUAAAGCGGAACGAUUUGGAAAAGUCGGCCAUAGAGGGUGAUAGCCCCUUACGCGUAGAACAGUCAUUGUCCUUGAGUAGGGCGGGACACGUGAAAUCCUGUCUGAACAUGGGGAGACCACUCUCCAAGCCUAAGUACUCGUGCAUGACCGAUAGCGAACAAGUACCGUGAGGGAAAGGUGAAAAGCACCCCGACGAGGGGAGUGAAAUAGAACCUGAAACCGGAUGCCUACAAACAGUCGGAGCCCGCAAGGGUGACGGCGUACCUUUUGUAUAAUGGGUCAACGACUUAGUGUAACUAGCAAGCUUAAGCCGGUAGGUGUAGGCGCAGCGAAAGCGAGUCUGAACAGGGCGAUUGAGUUAGUUGCAUUAGACCCGAAACCGAGUGAUCUAGCCAUGAGCAGGCUGAAGGUUGGGUAACACCAACUGGAGGGCCGAACCCGUAUCUGUUGCAAUAGAUUGGGAUGACUUGUGGCUAGGGGUGAAAGGCCAAUCAAACUCGGAAAUAGCUGGUUCUCCGCGAAAUCUAUUUAGGUAGAGCGUCGACCGAAUACCCUCGGGGGUAGAGCACUGGAUGGGCUAUGGGGACUCACCGUCUUACUGAUCCUAACCAAACUCCGAAUACCGAGGAGUACUAGUCGGCAGACACACGGCGGGUGCUAACGUCCGUCGUGAAAAGGGCAACAACCCUGACCUCCAGCUAAGGUCCCCAAGUCAUGGCUAAGUGGGAAAGGAUGUGAGGAUCCCAAAACAACCAGGAUGUUGGCUUAGAAGCAGCCAUCAUUUAAAGAAAGCGUAACAGCUCACUGGUCUAAAUAAGGGUCUUUGCGCCGAAAAUGUAACGGGGCUAAAGCCAUGCACCGAAGCUGAGGAUAUGCCGUAAGGCAUGUGGUAGCGGAGCGUUCCGUAAGUCUGUGAAGGCGGACCCGUGAGGGCUGCUGGAGAUAUCGGAAGUGCGAAUGUUGACAUGAGUAACGAUAAAGGGAGUGAGAGACUCCCUCGCCGAAAGACCAAGGGUUCCUGCUUAAAGUUAAUCUGAGCAGGGUUAGCCGGCCCCUAAGACGAGGCGGACACGCGUAGUCGAUGGGAACCACGUUAAUAUUCGUGGGCCUGGUGGUAGUGACGGAUCUCGUGUGUUGUACAUUCUUAUUGGAUUGAAUGUGCGGCGAAGAGGUUCCAGGAAAUAGCUCCACCGUAUAGACCGUACCCGAAACCGACACAGGUGGUCAGGUAGAGUAUACCAAGGCGCUUGAGAGAACUAUGUUGAAGGAACUCGGCAAAUUGCACGCGUAACUUCGGAAGAAGCGUGACCCCAUUUUAGGCAACUAUGAUGGGGUGGCACAGACCAGGGGGUAGCGACUGUUUAUCAAAAACACAGGGCUCUGCGAAGUAGCAAUACGACGUAUAGGGUCUGACGCCUGCCCGGUGCUGGAAGGUUAAAGGGAGGGGUGCAAGCUCUGAACUGAAGCCCCAGUAAACGGCGGCCGUAACUAUAACGGUCCUAAGGUAGCGAAAUUCCUUGUCGGGUAAGUUCCGACCUGCACGAAUGGCGUAACGACUUCCCCGCUGUCUCCAACAUAGACUCAGUGAAAUUGAAUUCCCCGUGAAGAUGCGGGGUUCCUGCGGUCAGACGGAAAGACCCCGUGCACCUUUACUAUAGCUUUACACUGGCAUUCGCCAAGGCAUGUGUAGGAUAGGUGGUAGGCUUUGAAGCAGGGACGCCAGUCUUUGUGGAGCCAUCCUUGAAAUACCACCCUUAUCUUCGUGGAUGUCUAACCGCGGUCCGUUAUCCGGAUCCGGGACAGUGUAUGGUGGGUAGUUUGACUGGGGCGGUCGCCUCCGAAAGAGUAACGGAGGCGCGCGAUGG
rnacentral:rRNA from 1 species